rnacentral:rRNA from 1 species
GACGAACGCUGGCGGCGCGCUUAACACAUGCAAGUCGAGCGAGAACCUUUCCUUCGGGAUUGGGGACAGCGGCGAACGGGUGAGUAACACGUGGGUAAUCUGCCCUUGACAUCGGGAUAGCCCGGGGAAACCCGGAUUAAUACCGAAUAGCCUCCGGAGCCCUCGGGCGCCGGAGAAAAGGUAGCUUCGGCCUCUGGUCAAGGAUGAGCCCGCGGCGGAUUAGCUUGUUGGUGGGGUAACGGCCCACCAAGGCGACGAUCCGUAGCUGGUCUGAGAGGACGAUCAGCCACACUGGGACUGAGACACGGCCCAGACUCCUACGGGAGGCAGCAGUGGGGAAUCUUGCGCAAAUGCGGGAAACCGUGACGCAGCGACGCCGCGU